rnacentral:rRNA from 1 species
GCCAGACUCCUACGGGAGGCAGCAGUGGGGAAUAUUGCACAAUGGGGGGAACCCUGAUGCAGCGACGCCGCGUGGGUGAAGGAGCGUUUCGGCGCGUAAAGCCCUAUCGGCAGGGAAGAAGGAGGACGGUACCUGACUAAGAAGCCCCGGCUAACUACGUGCCAGCAGCCGCGGUAAUACGUAGGGGGUAAGCGUUAUCCGGAUUUACUGGGUGUAAAGGGGGCGCAGACGGCAGCGCAAGCCAGGAGUGAAAGCCCGGGGCGCAACCCCGGGACUGCUCUUGGAACUGCGCGGCUGGAGUGCAGGAGGGGCAGGCGGAAUCCCUGGUGUAGCGGUGAAAUGCGUAGAUAUCAGGAGGAACACCGGUGGCGAAGGCGGCCUGCUGGACUGCGACUGACGUUGAGGCCCGAAAGCGUGGGGAGCAAACAGGAUUAGAUACCCCCGUAC